rnacentral:rRNA from 1 species
CCACGCGAAAGCGUGGCUAAUACCGCAUAAUCUCGCAAGAGCAAAGCAGGGGACCUUCGGGCCUUGCACUUUAGGAUGAGCCUGCGUCAGAUUAGCUUGUUGGUGGGAUAAAAGCCUACCAAGGCGACGAUCUGUAGCUGGUCUGAGAGGACGAUCAGCCACAUUGGGACUGAGACACGGCCCAAACUCCUACGGGAGGCAGCAGUAGGGAAUAUUGCCCAAUGGGCGAAAGCCUGAGGCAGCAACGCCGCAUGCACGAUGAAGGCCUUCGGGUUGUAAAGUGCUUUUCUGGAGGAAGAGAAAGGACGGUACUCCAGGAAUAAGGAUCGGCUAACUACGUGCCAGCAGCCGCGGUAACACGUAGGAUCCAAGCGUUAUCCGAAUUUACUGGGCGUAAAGCGCGUGUAGGCGGUUCGGUAAGUUGGACGUGAAAGCUCCUGGCUCAACUGGGAGAGGUCGUUCAAAACUUCCGGGCUAGAGGACGGUAGAGGGAGGUGGAAUUCCCGGUGUAGUGGUGAAAUGCGUAGAUAUCGGGAGGAACACCAGUGGCGAAGGCGGCCUCCUGGGCCGUUCCUGACGCUCAGACGCGAAAGCUAGGGGAGCGAACGGGAUUAGAUACCCCGGUAGUCCUAGCUGUAAACGAUGUGAACUUGGCGUUGGUGGGGUAAAAUCCAUCAGUGCCGAAGCUAACGCGAUAAGUUCACCGCCUGGGGACUACGGUCGCAAGGCUAAAACUCAAAGGAAUUGGCGGGGACCCGCACAAGCAGCGGAGCGUGUGGUUUAAUUCGAUGCUACACGAA